AUUGAACGCUGGCGGCAUGCCUUACACAUGCAAGUCGAACGGUAACGGGUCUUCGGAUGCUGACGAGUGGCGAACGGGUGAGUAAUACAUCGGAACGUGCCCAGACGUGGGGGAUAACGAGGCGAAAGCUUUGCUAAUACCGCAUACGAUCUAAGGAUGAAAGCCGGGGACCGCAAGGCCUUGCGCGUUUGGAGCGGCCGAUGGCAGAUUAGGUAGUUGGUGGGAUAAAAGCUUACCAAGCCGACGAUCUGUAGCUGGUCUGAGAGGACGACCAGCCACACUGGGACUGAGACACGGCCCAGACUCCUACGGGAGGCAGCAGUGGGGAAUUUUGGACAAUGGGCGAAAGCCUGAUCCAGCAAUGCCGCGUGCAGGAUGAAGGCCUUCGGGUUGUAAACUGCUUUUGUACGGAACGAAAAGGCUCUGGCUAAUACCUGGGGCACAUGACGGUACCGUAAGAAUAAGCACCGGCUAACUACGU
rnacentral:rRNA from 1 species